UGCAGGAACUAUCACGUGGCUUUCAGGUGAUCUGAGGAUUGAUUUUACGAGUACACUCCUCGAUGCAUACUGGGGAAGCCCACAAGAAGCUUAGUGAUCCCAACGAGUCAAGUCAAACACGCUGCAGUCUUGUGAUUGAAAGUGAGCUAAGCUGAACACUCUGCCUUCUUGUGAUUGAAGGUGGAGUAAUCUCUUGACUUUGGCGCUGCAUAAAGAUCCCUCCGGAUCAGUUUCUUUACUUUGUGAGCCCAAGAACUUCGCAGAUUCGUACUUGGUGUGAACUGGCAGCCCCAGGCUUUCACUUGACACUCCAUUUUGCCACCCAUAUGUAGGAUGCACCGCGAUACAGGCAUCAAAAACAAGUGCAGUGAACCCUCUUGAGUUGAAUCUUGCUUCUGCCGCCUAUACGCAGGACACACCGCAGUAUAGGCAUCGAAAACAAGUGCAGUGAACCUUCUUGAGUUGAUCCUUGCUUCCGCCACCUAUACACAGGACGCACCGCAAUAUAGACAUCGAAAGCAAGUCCAGCGAAAUACAGAGGUGAGCCCUCUGCUUUUCUUCUUUUGCCAUCAGAAAGUUAUCGAAAUCCCUCCUCUGUGAGCGUGCUUCUUCCAUUCUUUGAACCUGCACAUUUUGUGAACACGAAGGUGUAUCGAAAAUGUUUUUGGUUGUUUCUUUUUUCUGAUUUCUGGUGGGCAGCAGUAGUGUUUUUUGGGGUUUUGUGGCUUUGGGGGUUUCGAGUCUUUUUAGUAUGGAGGAUUUGUUUUCGGUGCUGUUUUGGAAGGGUUAUAGAGCCCACAUGGAAAUAAGAAGCAAGUCUUCUGCACUCAUGGAGACGACAGCAAUGAUAAAGAAAAAAUAGCAAGGAAGACCAUGAAGGGAUGACCAGCAGGAUACCUGAAUAUAAAGCUCUCCUGUCGUCGGAUUGUCGUCUCCAGGUAACUAGCAACUCUUCACUCUCUCUUCCUCUCUAACGCUACCUUACUCUGAUGCAGAAACUUGACUAACUUUUUUCUCUAUUUCUCUUCGUGUGUUUCUUGUGCAGCCUUGUGU